rnacentral:tRNA from 1 species
AUUGAAAUAUUAAUUAAAAAGCUUCUAACUUUUUCAAAAGCAUUAAUUUGUUUAU